rnacentral:rRNA from 1 species
UGGGGAAUAUUGCACAAUGGGCGCAAGCCUGAUGCAGCCAUGCCGCGUGUAUGAAGAAGGUUUUCGGAUCGUAAAACUCUGUUGUUAGAGAAGAACAAGGACGUUAGUAACUGAACGUCCCCUGACGGUAUCUAACCAGAAAGCCACGGCUAACUCCGUGCCAGCAGCCGCGGUAAUACGGAGGGUGCAAGCGUUAAUCGGAAUUACUGGGCGUAAAGCGCACGCAGGCGGUCUGUCAAGUCGGAUGUGAAAUCCCCGGGCUCAACCUGGGAACUGCAUUCGAAACUGGGAGGCUAGAGUCUUGUAGAGGAGGGGAGAAUUCCAGGUGUAGCGGUGAAAUGCGUAGAGAUCUGGAGGAAUACCGGUGGCGAAGGCGGCCCCCGGGACAAAGACUGACGCUCAGGUGCGAAAGCGUGGGGAGCAAACAGG